GAGGCUUCAGCUGGCUCAGGUCUUCUUCCUCAACUCCAUAGGGACCAGUGACAUGGUUAUGUUUACUUCUCUUUCUUCAGGACUCUGUCAGCCUCCUUCAUGGUUACCCCGUGAACCUUCUAACAGUGACUGCUCUUAGUGACUCUAUUAUAUCCCUACAAUGACUUCAUGUCAGCACUUUCCCUUUCCCUUAAGUUGGGACCUUUUUAUAGUGACCCGUUCAGAUCCUGCCUCAGACAGCAUCAAUAUGAUCUUGGAAAGGAACUUUGAGAAUCUCUCCCAGGAAGGACUGUACAGCUUUCCUGCAAAUUUUUCCCACUCUGGUCACAGCUAAAUGGACCAGGGAUUCUCCUACCCAAGAAAUUCAGAUGUUAAAGGCAGAAUGGAAGAUGAACUGGCAUGUAUACAUCACUUUGUUCAGAGUAUUUCAUAUAUAGAACUGGGAGAACAAUUUAUGUCAUUAUGCCACUAUAAAAAUAAACAACCGUGAAAGCCGCAAGAA